rnacentral:rRNA from 1 species
CCUACGGGAGGCAGCAGUGGGGAAUAUUGGGCAAUGGAGGAAACUCUGACCCAGCGACGCCGCGUGCGGGAUGAAGGCCUUCGGGUUGUAAACCGCUUUCAGUAGGGAAGAAGCGAAAGUGACGGUACCUACAAAAGAAGCACCGGCUAACUAUGUGCCAGCAGCCGCGGUAAUACAUAGGGUGCAAGCGUUGUCCGGAAUUAUUGGGCGUAAAGAGCUCGUAGGUCGUUUGUUACGUCGGAUGUGAAAACCUGAGGCUCAACCUCAGGCCUGCAUUCGAUACGGGCAAACUAGAGUUUGGUAGGGGAGACUGGAAUUCCUGGUGUAGCGGUGGAAUGCGCAGAUAUCAGGAGGAACACCAAUGGCGAAGGCAGGUCUCUGGGCCAAUACUGACACUGAGGAGCGAAAGUCUGGGGAGCGAACAGGAUUAGAUACCCUGGUAGUCCAGACCGUAAACGGUGGGCACUAGUUGUGGGAACCUUCCACGGUUUCUGCGACGCAGCUAACGCAUUAAGUGCCCGCCUGGGGAGUACGAUCGCAAGAUUAAAACUCAAAGGAAUUGAACGGCUGAGAGUGCGAGACGACGACGAGGGAGAGG